AUAGCGAGUUCCGGCGGAAGAGCAGCAGCAGAAACAAAGUCAUCAAAAAUCAUCAAAUCAAAUCAAUCCAAUAAAUGAUCAACGGGAAGGCAGAAAAUGCGCCACGUUCAACACUCCCACCCAACAUCCACGAAAAUAUUUCCAUGCCAUCUUCUCCCCUCCGAUAUCGCAACAGCAUUUUGAAGGACUUGAGAAAAGAUUUUCAAGCGUCCAGUCGUGAUGUCUUCUUCGCGGUACAACGGUGCAGCCCGCAUCUGGCCUUCUGGACUCACCGCAACUGACGGUAAAACGGAAAAAAUGCUCCAUCGGUAACGUCGCGUAUUAUGAAAAGGUAAUCUGAACCCGGAAAUUCCAAUAAACGUGGAAAUACAAACACAGCAAUUCAGAAUUGAAAUUCCUUAGCAGAUAUAAAGAUAAG